AAAUAUAGGGGCCUAAUCGAAAUACCACUAAAAUGUAGGGGCCUAAAUGUAUAAAUUUUUAUGAAAUUAAUUGGACGGGAACAAAAGUUUGCAAGGGUACAUCCGACAAUUCGACCAAAAUUGCGAAGAUGUGAUAAUGUGAACCGGAGGCACUGCUUUGUCUGUACAACCAACCACAUCUGAAGGACUGCUCCACCGCCGGACCGCCGCGAUUUCCCGGCCGCGCCGCCGAUUAAAUAUCGCCAUUAGUCGAGAAUGGAUGACGUUUCUCUCAAUAGCGAACCUACGUAUGAUGAGGAGGCUGAGGAAUUUGAGAUUGAUGGAGAAUGUGCAAUGACAGAAUAUGUUGGCCAAACUGGCGACGUUUUACAAGGUGAUAAUCCUCUGCCUCCUGCUGUUGGGAUGGAAUUCGAGUCCUACGAUGAUGUUUAUUUCUUUUACAAUUGUUAUGCAAAACAACAAGGAUUCGGAGUAAGAGUAAGUAAUACAUGGUAUAGAAAGAGCAAGGAGAGAUACAGAGGAAAAUUAAGCUGCAGUAGCGCGGGGUUCAAGAAGAAAACCGAUGCCAACCGGCCAAGACCUGAAACUCGGACUGGCUGUCCUGCAAUGAUCAAAUUUAGGUUGAUGGAUAACAAGAGGUGGAGAAUUAUAGAAACUGAACUAGAGCAUAACCAUCUAACCAGUCCGACUAAUGAUAACAUUUAUAAGUCUCAUAAGAUAAUGGAUCUUGGAAGUAAGAGGCCCUUGCCAAUAAAUGGCGCUGACGAAGUUCAAAGAAUUAGGUUGUUUAGAACUGUGGUCAUUGAUGCGGAGGAUAAUGGGGUUUCAAAUUUUGAUGAAGGUGAUUUUAGGGAUAAUAUUGAUCAGGGUGAUAAUAAACUGAAGCUCAAACUGGGGGACUCUCAGGAAAUGCUCAAGUUUUUUACGAGGAUGCAGUUGAAUGAUCCUAGUUUCUUUUACAUGAUGGACAUUAAUGAAAAAGGAUGUUUACGCAAUGUUUUCUGGGCUGAAGCAAGGUGCAGGGCUGCCUACAGUUAUUUUGGUGAUGUUUUAUUUGUUGAUACUACAACUUUAAUAGAAAACUAUGAGGUUCCGCUGGUGGUAUUUACUGGUAUCAAUCACCACGCACAGACUGUGCCACUAGGUUGUGGUUUGGUUUCAGGUCAGACUGUCGAGUCCUUUGUAUGGCUGUAUAGAGCAUGGCUAACAUAUAUGGUCGGACGGCCUCCACAAACCAUCGUUACCAGCGAGUGCAAAGCCUUGCAGACUGCUGUUGGUGAGGUUUUCCCAAGAGCAUCUCAUUGUCUUUCUUUGACAAAUAUUAUGAAGAUGGUUUUGCACGAACUAGCGCCUCUGGAGGAAUACGAGGUAAUCAGAAAUGGGCUUACUAGAGCGGUUUAUCACUCGCUGAGAUCAGAUGAGUUUGAAGCAGCUUGGGAGGACAUGGUGCAGAGCCAUGGACUUAAGAAUUAUAAGUGGCUUCAAAACUUAUUUGAAGAUCGUAAGCGGUGGGUCCCAGUCUAUCUGAAAGAGAUCUUUUUUGCAGGAAUGUUUCCUGUAAAAGAGAAUGAGAGAUUGGCUUCACCUUUUCAGGAAUAUUUGAGCCAGCAUACUUCACUUAGAGAGUUUCUUUGUAGUUAUGAUCGAGCUCAGCAGGAUAUUUACCAGAGAGAAACAUUAUCUGACAUAGAGUCUAAUAAAUCAAGUUGUCUGCUGAAGUCAAGUUUGUUUUUCGAAUUGCAGCUCUCAAAAUUAUACACAAAGAACAUAUUUGAACAUUUUCAAGAUGAAGUGGAGGGUGUGUACUCAUGUUAUAAUAUAAGGCAGACGAACAUUGAGGGGUCGGUUGCGACUUUUAUAGUGAAAGAAGACAUCCAAGUCGAGGAAAACAGGAAGGAAACAAGAGACUUCGAGGUGGUAUACAAUACUUCUGAUGUUGAGGUGCUGUGUGUGUGCGCGCUAUUCAACUUCAGGGGUUAUUUGUGCAGACAUGCCUUAUGUGUUAUCAACCAAAUCGGAUUGGACGAAAUUCCACCUCAAUAUAUCCUUGCACGGUGGAGGAAGGACAUCAACCGUAGUUACACUUUUGAUUACAGAUUAAACGGUAUUGAUAUCAAUAACCCUGUGCAUAGAUAUGAUAACUUGUACAGGAGUGUUGUGAAGGUGGUCGAGGACGGAAGGAAAUCACAUGAUCGAUACAGGUUCGUUACUCAAUCCUUGGAACAGAUGAUGAACAAAGCUCAUAUCCAAGAUGAUUAUCCAACAAAUGCCGUAUAGAUUAUGUGCGCUGUUCCUUUAAAACCUAACCAAAUAUGCAAGGCAGACACAAUAAUCGCGGCAAGCGUGUGAGCAAUUGCCACAACCAUGCUUGGGUGCGUCGUUAGCAUAGGAAUAUCAUUUACGUAUGUAUAUGCAGUAGUAUUGUUAUAAUCAGCAUGAGCUCAAGUUGUAAGUUGUAAGAAGCAGAAAUGGUCGUCAGGCUCAGGUGGAGCCGGUGUCGAGCACAGGCAGCCUGCAAUGCAGACUGAAUGAGUUAUCGGUGAGCCUGGUUCCCGGUACAAAGAACUGGAAGAACAGCAUGAGGCAAGCACUCUGCGGAGCAAUCCCGAAGAAGGCGCAGUCGGGCUUUGCCAAGCUACACUGCAGACUCUUGAAGAAAUGCUUCACGCUCACUUGCACACUCAUCGCAUCCCCCCUCUGCACGCCUCUCUCCGCCCUAAUCUGCGCGCUCACCCCCUCGUCCUCCGCCACCGGAUCCGCCCUCUCCCCUAAAACCCUCAGCUUCCUGAACUCCGCCCCAAGCGAGAUCAGCGAGGUCGAGAUCUGCAAAUGCAGGUCACCGUACUUGCUCACCGAGACCCCCAUCACGUCGCCCACGUGCUUCAUCCCGUCCACGAAGUUGUGCAGCGAGUUCAGCUCCGGCGCCAUGACGAGGGUGGCCGGGAGCUGCUCGCAGCUCUCAACGGCGAGGUGCAGCUCGUGGACGUCGGCGCGGGAGAGGGGUUUGGAGACGGGGACGUCCUGGACGACGGCGGAUUUGUGGCCCCGGGCCUCGAAGGUGAGGAAGGGCGUGGCUUGGGUGGAAUUGGGGGGGAGCUUUUUGACGAGCUUGAUGAGGAGGGCGUUGGAAUUGGCGUCGCGGAUGGCGAGGACGGAGCGGAGGGCGCGGUGGAGGAGGGAGAGGUCGACGGAGAAGGCGAUGCGGUCAUCGUUGUUGCUGGAGAUGCGGUAGUCGUGGAAGAGGGAUUCCUUGCUGAAUUGGGCGACGGAGUGGACGCCGUCGGCGGAGAGGAGGUUGUGGAGGAAGAAGGCGUGGUCGCGGGUCAGGUAAAGGUGGCAGACCCGCCCCAUUUUGUCCAGGGCGGGUAGGAUCCGUUUCUCCAGGAGGUUGAUGCCGUUUUCUGUGAGGAAGGCUUUGAAUUUCAUGUUGAUUGGUGUGGGUCGCAGAAAUUGGGGAAGAAGAUGAAGACACAGAAAGGGUUUUGGGAAAUGGAGGGAACGUUUUUAUUUGAUUAUUGGAUUUUAUGUUUGCCGCCUAAUACUUUUUUUCCCCCUUUUUGUUUUUUCUGUUCAACUUUACUACUAGUAUGAGAAUUGGUAGACUCAAUAACAUGAUCGAAACCUUAUUUAACCUUACAA